rnacentral:lncRNA from 10 species
UACCUUUCCAUGAGCUCACCUCUGUUCCACUCCCAUCUCAUAAAGGGUGUGACAGAUACUUCACAGAAGGCAAGGAGAAAACAGGUCAGAAGUAUGUUAUUGGGGGCUUAGCACUGAUUUUGGUUCUGACAAGCUGGCCACUCAGAGACAGCAGUAGCUAUGUCUGUCUCAGUAUGUGGUAGACCAUGCUGUUGGGCCCAUAUAUAUAUAGCCUCCAUGCCUGCCACUGGGGCUACUUCAUUCACGUACCCACUGUGUCAGUUCUGGGAUGACUAAAAUCAACUGGGCACCAUCCACCCUCCCCAUGCAUUUUAAAUGCCUGCAUCAUCAUAUUUGCUACAGCAUUUUACUUCACCAGGAUAUUUUUCCAGGUCAUCAUGAGUGAAGUCUUGAGCCACUGAGCCACUACCACCUUGUGCCAAAUACUAUCUGUGCCCUGCCUGCCAACCAGGAUGACAACCCUUCACCUGCCAGGUGGAGAGAGACAGCAGCAGGCUAACUAGUUGUCUGUUAAGAACAUCCAGAGCAGGACCAGAAUCUGGGCCAGGAACUGAGAGACAGAUUGGGACAACGGAACAAAUCUACCAGGGUAUGCUGGCCAACUUAGUCUUCUAUUAUGAUCAAGGAAGGAUGGCGCCUGAGAGGUCAUUACUAUGUGACUGGUCUUCAUAUAUUGCUUCUAUGUUUGAUUCUUCCUCCAGAAAUGUUUCAAUAGCAAACUCAAUGAGUUUACGUAGCCAGAAUCUUAGUCAAUAACCUACUCUGCAGUAUCUUAGGGCUGACUUUGUACAUAUGGAAGUCAGCCAGAUCUCAUGAGUGGAUCAUUAAGCUAGAAUUAUUUUCUUGGCACACGUUACAGUAAGGUAAUAUAUGACCUAGGCCUAAGGCAGGCCAUCAACCUGUCAAGAGUAAUGACCCCCAGGGGUAAGGCCUUGCUGUCUCCACCUCAAGGAUGGGUCUUCAAAGUGGAGACAAUAUAGUCCCUAUGGUUUCUACAUGCUUAAUGAGUCUGUUAUGUGAAUUAUAAAGAUAAUAUCUAUGGGGACUUUGAGCUCCUACAAUAAAAAUGUAUAAAUAUAAUCCAAGAAAUUCUGGUAGACAAACAUUGUAAUAAUGCAUAUCAGUCUUUGUAUCUCCAUUUAGUUUUUUUAAAACUUGGCUUGUGUCCAGAAGUAUGCACAGAUAUACAUAGCAAAUGCUCAGUGCUGAAUGUUUAGCUAAAUCCUGUGCUUCAAAGCAAGGAUGAAUAGAUUUUCAUCAGAGCUCAGGACCUGAACUGUAGGCUUCCCUCACAAUGAGAAGUAAAGCUAAGUAUAGGUGAAUCCUGAGUGGCACAUAUUCUAUGAGAGUUUUAUACAUAAUUUGAAUGAUUGAUAUGCUGCAUCUUUCAUUGAAAUGAUUGUCAACCAAUAUUAUUUCAAGUGUUAUUUCCAUGCUAUUUCUAGUUCUGUAUGUUUUACGUAAUUAUAAAUGGCUUCAUAUUUUCAUGUAACAUUGUAUGAUAUGAUUUGGGUUCUAACAGGUUAUCCUUGACACCAGUAUAGAAUACCCAGAAUUAAUUUAAGGUAUAUUAUCAAACCACUAAAAUUAGGAUGUCCAUGAAUUCUGAAGGAGAAAAUAUCAUUUAGAUUGUGUGUGUGUGUGUGUGUGUGUGCGCGUGUGUGUGUGUCCUCUAAGUUUUAAACAUGAGGUGGUUAUAUAAAGGGGACUUCUAAAUUGGGAGAGGAUGAAAAUGGGCUAAAUAUUUCAAACAAACUUCAGUGUGAAAUCAGUAGUAUAUUCAGUAGAGGUGACAGGGAAAAAAGCUGUGGAGGAGAAAAGAGAACAAGAAAAUCAGGAAGCAGUAAAAAUGAUGACUGAGGUCAGGUGGUAAUGGUAACAUCAAGAAACUUGAAUCUGAUGGAAAAAAACCACGGGUAGCUAUAAAAGGGGCAUUCGAAAUAGGAAAUGAUGUGAGAGGAGAAGAUAAUUUUAGUAUAGUUAAAGGAGGUAGCAGCUAUAGGUGUGAAGAGAACGGAUUAAUUUUAAAUGUGUCCCAGAAGUAAGAGAAAUAUUUUUUUGAGGAGUGGGGGAGGAACAAUGAGAUAAACCUGGUUGAGUGUUUUAUGGUUAUCUCAAGUAAGAGUCCACUUGGAGUAUUAUGUCCAUUUUUGGACACCAUACUUUCAUAGGCAUGUUGAUGAACCAGGUCAUUCAAGACACCAGGGUAGUGAGAAGUGUGUUAAUAGUGCUUCUACCAGAGAGUUAGAGUGACAUGGCAGCUGUCCUCAUAUCUAUCGAUCUGUCAUAAGGAAGAAAGAUCACAUGCCUCUGCAUUGUUUAAAAGAAAGAAACAGACCCAAAGAAAGUCAGGAGGCAGAUUUUGCUCAAUAUAAUGAUCUAACAAUUAGAUGUGCCCUGUAACAGAGUGCGCUAUUGUAAAGUAAUGUUCUCCCAUCUUUCCAAGUAUUCAAGCAGAGAAUAGUCAAUAAUACAACUAACGACUGGAAGGGUUUCUUUUAUUCUAAGGUACUAUCAGAUGGAGGAACAUGUAGUUUGUGGUCAGUGACCUCAGGUUCUCACAUUCACGGUGCUGCAUCCUGGUUUUCAUUUGGGGACUGUUUUCUGGCACUCCCGCCUGUCUGGAGGUGAGAUAUGCUUGUUAUGACAACCCUUCUGUCACAAUAAAUUGGCUGGUGCAUUCAGUGUCAUCUAUGGCUUUUUACUUCUAUUAAUUCAUUAAUUCCGGGCCCCCAAGCGAAAGUUUCCAAAGGCCUUUUUUCUUCUUUGUUAAUUAUAACAUGAUAUCAAUCAGCACCCAAGCAGAAACUAGAAGAGUAUUCAAACUAGGUAAUUUGAGGAGAGUUUAAUAAAGCAACAGCUUACAAAGAUGUGGACAGUGGCUUAAGGAAGCCACUAAAGGAUGGCACAGUCCUCCAGGCUUGUGAUCAGGGGAGUCAUUACCAUCCCCCAGCCUGAAGAUCAAGAGGCUGGAGCUAUUUCCAGACCCUGAAGAGGGUGGUUGUAUGGAGAGGACUAUCUGAAAGAAGAGGCUGUAGCCAACACAAGAAAGCCAGGGAAUAAAUAAUCCAUCCUCACUCUCCUGCUGUUGCCUCUCAAUGGCCAAACCCAACCAUGAGCUGGGCAUGAAGGGAGCUAGCUGACAGCUAUAUGGCUCAGCUUCCUGGGGCCCAGAGCAGAGUGGAGCUGAGAAGAGAGUGAAUCUGGAGGGGUUAAUGGAAGAAACCACAGAAAGCAAAUUCCUCCCUGAGAUACAGUUGGUGCUUAGGCAAUAUUUGUACUGACAGGAAUGUGGCCACAUAUUUUGGAAAAGCUCAGGGACUCAAUCCUCUGCUAGCUGCUUUGAGGCCAUGUCUGCCGAAGUCACUGUCCUCUACAGGGUUUUUUCCUCAUGUUCAGUGUUUAGUCCUUUCCACCUUCACGAAAACGAUGCCUACUUAAUAUACAGAAAGGAGGACAUACAGAAAUUUUUCAUCUUAAUUGGAUAUUACAGUUGCCCCACUUUGGAGCCAAGAAGAGCUGAAUAAAGCUGAGAAACACCUAAACAGAAAGAAAAUAGCUGCUGCCCCACUCCUGUGCCAAAAUCUGCUCCAAGGGAUCCUAUCCUAGUCAGAAGGCUGUACUCUGAAUGCUGAUAUUAGCUACAACACCAAGGCUUCCCACUAUACAAACUGGAUCCUCAAAGUCAUCCACACCAAAUGAACUCUCUAUUCUUUCUCCCAGUAGCCUGAGAACUGGGUUUACCAGCCUUGGCCCUUCCUUUCCUUCUAGCCUCAAAACAGGAUGGGAACAGAGUCUUUGGCUGUGAGAAUGGGCUCAAUAACAAAAUAAAGAUGACAGAAGAGUCAGUGACUUCAAUGACAGAGCGAUAGAAAUUACCAAUAUAAACGGAGAGAAAAGAGAUUUUUUAAAAAUGAACAAAUCCCCAAGGACCUGUGAGACAAUAACUGUGUUAGGUUUUCUAAACUUACAAGUGUUUUUAUUUAUAUAUGGUUAUUGUCUUCAGAAGGAGAGUAAAAAGAAUGCUGGGUAGAAGAAAUACCUGAAGAAAUAAUGGCCCAACCUCAAAUUUGGUGAAAGACAUAAACUUACAGAUUCAAGAAACUGAGUGUUCCCCAAACAGAAUAAACUUUAAAGAAUCCACACUCAAACACAUCAUAAUCAAACUUCUGAAAACUAACAACAAAGAAAAACUUAAAAUCAGCAAGAGAGAAACCACACAUUAUCAACUGAUGAAAAGUGACUCAAGUGACAGCAGAUUUAUAAUCAGAAACUUGAAGGACAGAAGGAAGAGGCAAAACAUUUUGAAAGCCCUAAAAGGAAAGAACUGUCAACCCAGAAUUCGACAUCCAGUAAAAAUAUCCGUCAAGAAUGAAUAUGAAGGAAAGCUAAGAAUGAAUAUAUCUUCUAUUUCUUUGCUAAAUUUUUCUACUUUUUCAUUUGAUGUAAGAGUGUUUAUAAGUGCUUAUGGAGCAUUUUUAUGAUAGUUGGUUUACAAUCCUUGUCUGAGAGUAGCUAUGUGAGAUGACGUAUAUAGUAAAUGGUGACUGUAGUAACCAUUUCACUACAUAUAAGUAUGUCAAAACAUGUUGUACACCUUAAAUAUACACAAAAAAUAGCUCUGACACAAAAAAUGCAUAGUUGUUAUUACCAUGUAUAAAUAAAAAUACUUGUAAGUUUAGAAAAUAAAAUCAUUGUCUGAUAAUUAUCUAAAUAAUAAAGUCCA